GGUUAAAUUUCAGGAGUAAUCGGUGUUUCAGAUGAUGUUCUCUGGGCAUAUGCGUCUUUCGACAGUGGUUGACGUUUCUGCCCUUGCUUUGCUAUUAUAAUUUCAGUUUUGUUGUGGUGUCCGACACGAUGUCCGCUGGGUGUAUCCGUCUUUAGGUAUGGGAAAAUGUCUUCUGUUUGGGUUUGCGUUGGAAAAUUACCGAGCGAUCGAAGGGAUUGUGGUGUUUUGAUAGAAAGAGAAGUAAGAGUGUUUGGUUUCGAUAGUCUUCAAUCUGUUGUGUUGGUGGGUUUCGGGAGAGUAAGGAUUGCAGCAAUUUGUAGUUUAUGUAAAGGGAUGAGUUUAGGCGGUCUACUUAGGCGGCUAAUUAAUUACAUAUUAAUGUAUAUAGAGCUCGAUCAAUGAAGGGAAAAUUAAGAUACGGAUAGGAAAUGAGAAAUCUAGGCAGGGGAGACUACAGAGAAAAGUUUCUGUUUCUUGGUUUCUGCAUUUCGGACCGAAGCUGAAGGAGCAUCAAAUACUAUGUGGAUCAUCCUGAAGAGAUCAACAAGCAUCCAAAAACAAAGGACCAGUUCCAGAAAGCACUUACAGCUUGGCCAAUCACAUUACACCAUUUCCUAAACAACAGAACUCCCAGUGUAUUUGGUUCUCCUGAUUGUAAAAGACCAAUCAAGAACUCAGCUCCUCUUCAGCUUUAAAAGAUCAACGAGCAGGUACCACUAAUCAGCAAGGCGCAAAAAACGUCAACAAACAUCAAGCAAAGACGCAUGUCUCUUUGGAUAGUACUCAAGUAUCAUACAACACCUAUACCUUAUAUGUCAAUUCAUUUAAAAAGAAAACAAUUGAUGCAUUUAUACUACCCGCUGCAAACCAUGGGCUUUGUAAAUUGUAAUUGCUCAUAUCUUUCUACAACUGCAACAAAUGAAAUCAUCAAAUAUACAUUGCAGGAACUGCAUCAAUAUUCAGUCA